CACGUAGGGGCCAAGCGUUGUCCGGAUUUAUUGGGCGUAAAGAGCUCGUAGGCGGUUCGACAAGUCGGGUGUGAAAACUCCGGGCUCAACCCGGAGACGCCACCCGAUACUGUCGUGACUGGAGUCCGGUAGGGGAGUGGGGAAUUCCUGGUGUAGCGGUGAAAUGCGCAGAUAUCAGGAGGAACACCGGUGGCGAAGGCGCCACUCUGGGCCGGUACUGACGCUGAGGAGCGAAAGCGUGGGUAGCAAACAGGAUUAGAUACCCUGGUAGUCCACGCCGUAAACGUUGGGCACUAGGUGUGGGUCGUUAUCAACGCGAUCCGUGCCGUAGCUAACGCAUUAAGUGCCCCGCCUGGGGAGUACGGCCGCAAGGCUAAA
rnacentral:rRNA from 1 species